rnacentral:rRNA from 1 species
CCUACGGGAGACUGCAGUGAGGAAUAUUGGUCAAUGGACGAGAGUCUGAACCAGCAAAGUAGCGUGAAGGAUGACUGCCCUAUGGGUUGUAAACUUCUUUUAUAUGGGAAUAAAAUGUUCCACGUGUGGGAUUUUGUAUGUACCAUAUGAAUAAGGAUCGGCUAACUCCGUGCCAGCAGCCGCGGUAAUACGGAGGAUCCGAGCGUUAUCCGGAUUUAUUGGGUUUAAAGGGAGCGUAGGUGGAUUGUUAAGUCAGUUGUGAAAGUUUGCGGCUCAACCGUAAAAUUGCAGUUGAAACUGGCAGUCUUGAGUACAGUAGAGGUGGGCGGAAUUCGUGGUGUAGCGGUGAAAUGCUUAGAUAUCACGAAGAACUCCGAUUGCGAAGGCAGUUCACUGGACUGCAACUGACACUGAGGCUCGAAAGUGUGGGUAUCAAACAGGAUUAGAUACCCGAGUAGUC